GUAGUCGCUCUCACUCUCUCACUCUCUUUCAGUUUUAAUUGACAGCUCGUCUCGUUUUUCCCCAGCAAGUUUAUUCGUACUUGUUUUGUUGUUUGUGCUAAUAAAUAUUUACAUAUGUAAUUGUAUAAAGUUGUUAUUACUAUCUAUAUAAUAUUAUUUUAAUAUUGUCAUUCAAAUCAGUUUGGUGAUUGGUUUAUAUUUUUGGAGUAAAAAUUGCGACGAGAAAAAACAAAAGCAAAAGAAAGAAAAAUGUGGACGUUUUCGCAGCAUUGCCACACUGUUUGGCAUACUAAGGAGAGAGGGAGAGAGAAAAAUAAUGAUUGCAAAAAUGAUCGUGUUGUGUUUUUUGCUAUGUGUAUGUAUCUAUCUAUGAUGAAUGGAAGUGUAACGGAAGCAAGAUGUAGAAGGAGAAUGAAAAGCAACAACAAUCAAUUAUCUGAGUAUCUUAAGGUUUCCUAUAAGAGGGCAAUACCUUUAAAAGAUUUCUGAAAGUCUUAAAAACUACAUAAGUUGCAGUAUCUACACUUUUCAAAGCCGGAUCCGGGGAAGACCAGGGGCAGCUGUUGUCCUGAAGCCUAUUACAAUAAAAACAAUGUUGAUUAAUGGGCAAUUUUUUUUCAACUUGAAUAACAGACUUCGUAUUUACAUUAUAUAUUGGUAUUAAUCCAGUUUGGAAAUAUGUAUGUAUACAAUACUAUUCGAGAAAGUUUUGAAAAAGAGGAUAUAUGCAGACAUACAUAAGUACAUACAUACAUAAAUAUGUAGGUAUGUUUCAACUGAGGUAUAUAUUUGAAUACCUUCAUUAUUAUUGUGAAUAUAGUCUAAUAUCUAAAAGACAUAUGUAAGAUUUAAUUAUUCGACAAAUUCGAGUAUGAAACAUAAACUUACCCUUGCCACCUUAAA